AAGUCGUAACAAGGUAACCGUAGGUGAACCUGCGGUUGGAUCAUUACUGAAAUCUUUGCCCCUUGGGCGUUUGUCUAACAGAGCUGUGCCUCCUUUUGGCAUAUCCCUGGAAAGACAUUCAUCAACCUUCUGUGAACUGUAUUGUCUCUGGCAGUGGGACAUGGUUGCAUAUUAUAUAUAAUCUGCAUUCCUUGUCUGUCAGUUGUAUAGCAAGAUGCUAUCAGCCGUGGACAAGCUGCCAACUUUAAUGUAUUAACAUUUGUCAGUUUAUUUUUGACUAAUAUUGUUUUGUAUUACAUAAAACAAACAACUUUUGGCAACGGAUCUCUUGGCUCUC
rnacentral:misc_RNA from 1 species